CCAGAGUGGACAGCUCCGGAACAUGUGAGGCCCGAGGGACAGCGGUAUAGUGGGUCUGGGAGGUUGCUGUUCGUGCCCCGGGCCCUGGACCCUGUGCAUGUCACCUCACAGUGCAGAAGGGACUUUGCAGGUGUGAUGAGGGCCCUGCAGGGUGUUUGGAGGCCCAGCAGUGAAAGGGCCAGGCGACAGCUGGUGUUCGGAAGCGGCUGAUAUGCGGCUCUGUGUCUUUGUUUUUAAAAAUGUCUCCUCUGAACGCCGAGUGCAUUUUUACCUGUAACAGGAACUCUCCGGAUGGGCAGUGAUUAAGUGAUUUGCGGACCCGUUACUUUGGCGUAACAACCUCUUCAUCAUACAAGAGUCACAGUGGAGAGGAGGAACUAAUGCCCAGUAUCGCACAGGACCAGGACACGUGGGACAACUCUCCUGCCCUCCGGCGGAGUCUCGGGGCCGUGCUCCUCCUCCCGCUGCGGCCACUGCGGUCACGACUGCUCGUCCUGGGCCCAGACCCAGCGUCCAAGUCGGGAACGCGGAGGCCGUAGACGUCUUCCGUCACAGCCUUGGAAAUCACAGCAUCGCUUCCAACAGCCCUGUGUCGACGCAAGCCGGAUCCUGUCGUGUGGCCAACUCAGCCACCUCGCGUCCACCACGAAAAUACUGCACGUCUAUUCGACUUCCUUCAAGUGCUGAAACAGACCCGAUGCAUCUCCAGAAUAAGUAUCCGAAUGGUGGUUGCGUCUGGGGGUGGGGAUAGACUGAAAACAGCGCAGGGGAAUUGUCUGGGGUCCUGGCAAGAUUCUAUGUGUUGUGUGAGGCUGUUGGUCACAUAGGUGUAUGUGCGUUUGUCAAAACCCAUCAAAGUGUGCACUUAACAGCUGUGCAUCUUACUGUAUAGAAUUGUAUCUCGGUAAGUAACCAACAACCACAAAUACCACGCGCCUAUCUGGGUCUUAGUACCCCUCCCCGCAAUACACACACACACACACACAGACACACACAUCCAAAGACCAGAGCCAGCGACUAAGGCUUGUUUAUUUAGGAAAUAAUCCUGUUCAAGGAGUGAGGGGCUGGGGGACGAGACAGGGGAGGAGGGAACACCAAUAUCAACCAGAAUGUGUCAUUAAUUUACCGCCACCGGUGACUGGUGCUUGACUUCACCGGGACCUUCU